rnacentral:rRNA from 1 species
GAUGAACGCUGGCGGCGUGCCUAAUACAUGCCAGUCGAACGGGGAGCAGCAAUACUCUUAGUGGCGAACGGGUGAGUAACGCGUUGGUACCUGCCCCGAAGCGGGGGAUAACGGACCGAAAGGUCCGCUAAUACCCCAUGUGCUCGGUAACGAGUAAAGGUGAAAACCACUUUGGGAGGGGCCUGCGUCCCAUCAGCUAGUUGGUAAGGUAACGGCUUACCAAGGCGAUGACGGGUAGGGGACCUGAGAGGGUGGCCCCCCACAAUGGAACUGAAACACGGUCCAUACACCUACGGGUGGCAGCAGUAGGGAAUAUUGGUAAUGGGCGCAAGCCUGAACCAGCAACGCCGCGUGUGCGAUGACGGCCUUCGGGUUGUAAAGCACUUUUGACUGGGACGAGGAAGGACGGUACCGGUCGAAUCAGCCUCGGCUAACUACGUG